UACGGAAGGCAGCAGUGGGGAAUAUUGCACAAUGGGCGCAAGCCUGAUGCAGCCAUGCCGCGUGUAUGAAGAAGGCCUUCGGGUUGUAAAGUACUUUCAGCGGGGAGGAAGGCGAUGUGGUUAAUAACCGCGUCGAUUGACGUUACCCGCAGAAGAAGCACCGGCUAACUCCGUGCCAGCAGCCGCGGUAAUACGGAGGGUGCAAGCGUUAAUCGGAAUUACUGGGCGUAAAGCGCACGCAGGCGGUCUGUUUAAGUCAGAUGUGAAAUCCCCGGGCUUAACCUGGGAACUGCAUUUUGAACUGGCAGGCUUGAGUCUCGUAGAGGGGGUAGAAUUCCAGGUGUAGCGGUGAAAUGCGUAGAGAUCUGGAGGAAUCCGGUGGCGAAGGCGGCCCCUGGGACGAAGACUGACGCUCAGGUGCGAAAGCGUGGGGAGCAAACAGGAUUAGGAUACC
rnacentral:rRNA from 1 species